rnacentral:rRNA from 1 species
AGUGAACGCUGGCGGUAGGCCUAACACAUGCAAGUCGAACGGCAGCACAGUAAGAGCUUGCUCUUACGGGUGGCGAGUGGCGGACGGGUGAGGAAUACAUCGGAAUCUACUUUUUCGUGGGGGAUAACGUAGGGAAACUUACGCUAAUACCGCAUACGACCUACGGGUGAAAGCAGGGGAUCUUCGGACCUUGCGCGAUUGAAUGAGCCGAUGUCGGAUUAGCUAGUUGGCGGGGUAAAGGCCCACCAAGGCGACGAUCCGUAGCUGGUCUGAGAGGAUGAUCAGCCACACUGGAACUGAGACACGGUCCAGACUCCUACGGGAGGCAGCAGUGGGGAAUAUUCGACAAUGGGCGAAAGCCUGAUCCAGCAACACCGCGUGAGUGAAGAAGGCCUUCGGGUUGUAAAGCCCUUUUGUUGGGAAAGAAAAACAGCAGGUUAAUACCCCGCUGUUCUGACGGUACCCAAAGAAUAAGCACCGGCUAACUUCGUG